GUUCAGAUUCCAGAGUUUCCAGGUUCCCCGGUUGUCCUUGUUUUGACCCUGAAAAAGGGAAUCAACUCAGACUCCCUUUGCAAGAAGCUGCUCUCUCUUCUCAGCUAAGUUCACGCACAAAGUACAUCUGCUGGGUACUGUCUCCUUUAUACAACUCAGAAGAAGGCAGCAGCCUCAAGGAGGGGCCCCAUGUUGCCUUUUAUUGAGUUUUCGGCUGGAGUCAAGCACAAGGUCAACCGAUGAAGUUGAAAAUCCACCCGCUCAGAGGCAAGGGUGUUCCUGCUGGACUGUGCUGCUCAACUGGACUGUGAGAAUCUUGCAACUGAGAAGCCACUCCUGACACCUCCUCACACAGGGCUUCACACGUGCCAGCGGCUGGACCAAGCCCUCUUCACGGAGUCCGCUGGGACGGGGGGCAGGUGUGUGAGCAAAGGAGAUGGGCUCCGUACGCACCUCGACUGUACCAUGUGGUUCACAGUUGCCGUGAUGUGGGAUCUGGGACCCCCACCGCCAACCUGGAGUUUGGUGAAACUCAGAGCGAGUCCAAGGUGUGCGUGUUACACUUACAACCAAGUCAAAGCGGGGUUGGGCGGGGGUGCACCGACAACCCCGAGAGGCCAGGCUUUCUGCCAGAACCAGAACCUGCUUUGGAUGUAGAAACAAGGCAAAUGCAGAAAGAAACAACGACCAGCCAAGGAACCGUUGCUUACACGUAGAACCUGCCUGUCCUGGUCUCUCACAGACCCUGAACACGAGGACUCGGAAGGAGAGGAAGGAUUGCAGAACCCAUAAUUCCUGCUCCUCUCUGACAGUCCUCACUCCAG
rnacentral:lncRNA from 12 species